AGGAGUACACGUGACCUCAUCUCGUUAAUUUACAUGUCAAAUUAUAGGUAUCAAAUUUUAUCACCUAGCCUGCUAUACAUUUAUUAGUUGUAGACUCGCCUCUACUUUGACAAGACAAGACAAGACACUAGCACUACAUGAUGUGUGUUCUAUCAAUCAUUCAAAAAUGAUUCUUGUGUAAGGCUGGAUCUCUGGGGAGAAGUGAUGCAAUAGGUUUUUCAAGUCUUC
rnacentral:lncRNA from 1 species